GAUGAAGAACGUAGCGAAAUGCGAUAAGUAGUGUGAAUUGCAGAAUUCAGUGAAUCAUCGAAUCUUUGAACGCACAUUGCGGCCAUAGGUAUUCCUUUGGCCAUGCCUGUUCGAGCGUCAUUUACACCCUCAAGCCUAGCUUGGUGUUGGGCGUCUGUCCCGCCGUUCUCGCGCACGGACUCGCCUCAAAGUCAUUGGCGGCGGUCGUGCCGGCCCCCUCGCGCAGCACAUUUGCGCUUCUCGGAGGCCCGGCGGAUCCGCGCUCCAGCAAGACCUUUCACGACUUGACCUCGGAUCAGGUAGGGAUACCCGCUGAACUUAAGCAUAUCAAUAAGCGGAGGA
rnacentral:misc_RNA from 1 species